rnacentral:rRNA from 1 species
CCUACGGGAGGCAGCAGUAGGGAAUCUUCCACAAUGGGCGAAAGCCUGAUGGAGCAACGCCGCGUGAGUGAAGAAGGUCUUCGGAUCGUAAAACCCUGUUGUUAGAGAAGAAAGUGCGUGAGAUUAACUGUUCACGUUUCGACGGUAUCUAACCAGAAAGCCACGGCUAACUACGUGCCAGCAGCCGCGGUAAUACGUAGGUGGCAAGCGUUAUCCGGAUGUAUUGGGCGUAAAGGGAACGCAGGCGGUCUUUUACGUCUGAUGUGAAAGCCUUCGGCUUAACCGGAGUAGUGCAUUGGAAACUGGGAGACUUGAGUGCAGAAGAGGAGAGUGGAACUCCAGGUGUAGCGGUGAAAUGCGUAGAUAUAUGGAAGAACACCAGUGGCGAAAGCGGCUCUCUGGUCUGUAACUGACGCUGAGGUUCGAAAGCAUGGGUAGCAAACAGGAUUAGAUACCCCGGUAGUC